rnacentral:tRNA from 1 species
GUUUCCGUAGUGUAGUGGUGAUCACGUUUGCCUCACACGCAAAAGGUCCCCAGUUUGAAACUGGGAAGAAACA